rnacentral:rRNA from 1 species
AGCGAACGCUGGCGGCAGGCCUAACACAUGCAAGUCGAACGGGCUCUUCGGAGCUAGUGGCGGACGGGUGAGUAACACGAGGGAACGUGCCUUUAGGUUCGGAAUAAGCCCGGGAAACUGGGUCUAAUACCGAAUGUGCCCUUCGGGGGAAGGAUUUAUCGCCUUUAGAGCGGCCCGCGUCUGAUUAGCUUGUUGGUGAGGUAAUGGCUCACCAAGGCGACGAUCAGUAGCUGGUCUGAGAGGAUGACCAGCCACAUUGGGACUGAGACACGGCCCAAACUCCUACGGGAGGCAGCAGUGGGGAAUCUUGCGCAAUGGGCGAAAGCCUGACGCAGCCAUGCCGCGUGGAUGAUGAAGGUCUUAGGAUUGUAAAAUCCUUUCACCGGUGAAGAUAAUGACUGUAGCCGGAGAAGAAGCCCCGGCUAACUUCGUGCCAGCCGCCGCCGUAACAC